UUUAGGCUGUUGACUCUGUUGGGAUCAGAACUACAGAAAUGGUCUCUUUGGGAUCUUCCAUAUGGGCAGCACAACAACAAUAACUGGACCCAAUAAAUAAGUUAAGGAAGAAUGUGAGGAGCCAACAUCAGUUAUCUGUGUGACCAGGGUCAAGCAAAAGGAUUCUUGUGGAUUUACAGCCUAUUCCUAGAACACUGGGCAUGAGGUGGAAAUACAACCUUCAAUGGCAGAUUGUACACACACAUUUGCACAAUCACUGACACUUUUUGUGUAAGUGGGAAGAAACCAGAGAACCCAGAGAGAACGCAUAUGGACACAGGGAGAACAUUAUAGACUUUUUAGACGAUCCUACUUUCCACAGUCCUAACUGAAAGCACAUUCCCAACCCAUCUUAGACUCAUACCUGCACUCAGAUCUGACAGUGUCUCCUUAUUCCUCUAUGAAUAAUUGAACAGUGUCUGUGUGCAUCCUCCUGAACCAAUGUGCUGUUCUUUGUCUAAAACAACCUAAGAGUGAGUAGGGAAUAUCUUCCUUCCUGUGGAGUAGCUGUGGCAGGAGACUGACGAUCUGACACUGAGGCAGUGGGGGCAUGUGAUGGGGACGCUGGGCUGAUGUGGGGGAUGGAGGGUGUGAAGUAGAUUGUCGACUUCAAUCGGCAUCAUAUCAACAGCUUGAUUUCCCCCUGAGCCCGCUGGAGCCGAGACAAGUUAAGCAGUGGCAGAGAAAGGAGUAAUGAAUUGGGCGGGCUUCUCUUCUGUCAUAAACAGUGACUCAGAUGAUCUGUGGGAGCAAUGAAAAGAUGACGCAAAGCGGAUACUCCCUCUGAGCUUGCAAACAUACAAACUUAAGUUGCUACCAAACUUUAGGAUUCUAACCUCACAUUCAUACUUGUUCCUAUAGCCUGUGUCUUCUUCAUACGAUACAAUAACUCCCAUUCCAAGGACUUUCCCCUCUGCCUUUUUAGCGUUCAGCGUCAUUAGAAAACAAAUAAUGUUGCUUAUUUCAUCCUUUUGUCAUGUAUAGUGUUUUGGCUAAAACUCUAGCAUAAAUAUGUGAUAUUGUCUAAGUAUUGUUAAUUAUGUAUUAAUAAAUGUCAAUUAUCCUAUUAUUAUAAAUAGAUUUCCAAUAUAUGCAUUCUCUCUGUUGUUAAAGAUCCUGCUCUAUGUGAAGAUCCUAUGCGGUGUUGACUAUUUUCCAAUUUCCAAUACACACAUUUACUCAAACCCUCCUAAGAAAAGGCAAGUGGUCUCCCAGUGUUCCAUGUGGCUAAUUUCCCAUAAUCACUUGUGGGCUAGACUGGCACAGCAGUGGCUCUGUGCACAGCUUCAAUAGAGCAUAAUCCAACCUGCCGUUCCACACAGCCCGCCAACAUGACACAUCAGAUACAUCAGCUGGCGUGCUGCCUCACCCUAGCCUGGCUUCUCGAGAAUUUCUGCCCAUAUGACUGAGAAAGAGUGUGGCAAUGUGUGUGUGUGUGAAUAUAGCACAGUGAGAUCAAAAAUAGAAAAGCCAUGCCUUCUGCAGAAUACACAAUUGAGUUUUUGGCUUAGAUCAUGCCGUUUGCUCAGAAAAGCUGACUGCCAGCUGAGUCCAUGGUGAGACGAAAUAUGUAUGUGUGUGUGUGUGUGUGUGUGUGGACAACCUGA